rnacentral:rRNA from 1 species
AAUUUUGGACAAUGGGUGAAACCCUGAUCCAGCCAUUCCGCGUGUAUGAUGAAGGCCUUCGAGUUGUAAAGUACUUUUGGCAGAGAAGACAAUGCAUCCCCUAAUACGGGAUGCUGAUGACGGUAUCUGCAUAAUAAGCACCGUCUAACUACUUGCCAGCAGCCGCGGUAAUCCGUACGGUACAAGCGUUAAUCGGAAUUAAUGGGCGUAAAGCGUGUGUAGGCGGUUCGGAAAGAAAGAUGUGAAAUCCCAGGGCUCAACCUUGGAACUGCAUUUUUAACUGCCGAGCUAGAGUAUGUCAGAGGGGGGUAGAAUUCCACGUGUAGCAGUGAAAUGCGUAGAUAUGUGGAGGAAUACCGAUGGCGAAGGCAGCCCCCUGGGAUAAUACUGACGCUCAGACACGAAAGCGUGGGGAGCAAACA